rnacentral:rRNA from 1 species
CCUACGGGUGACAGCAGUGGGGAAUAUUGGGCAAUGGGCGCAAGCCUGAACCAGCCAAGUCGCGUGAGGGAGGACGGCCCUACGGGUUGUAAACCUCUUUUGCCGGGGAGCAACGGGCGUCACGUGUGGCGCCACUGAGAGUACCCGGAGAAAAAGCAUCGGCUAACUCCGUGCCAGCAGCCGCGGUAAUACGGAGGAUGCGAGCGUUAUCCGGAUUUAUUGGGUUUAAAGGGUGCGUAGGCGGAUCGUUAAGUCAGUGGUCAAAUUGAGGGGCUCAACCCCUUCCCGCCAUUGAAACUGGCGUUCUUGAGUGGAAGAGAAGUAUGCGGAAUGCGUGGUGUAGCGGUGAAAUGCAUAGAUAUCACGCAGAACCCCGAUUGCGAAGGCAGCAUGCCGGCUUCCGACUGACGCUGAAGCACGAAAGCGUGGGGAUCGAACAGGAUUAGAUACCCCAGUAGUC